GGGGGAGUGGAGCUGAGGCCUCACAUAAGGAUGCAGCUCAUGGAAAAGUCACUUGCUGCCUGCCAGGCCGCCGUUUUGUAGCCUGCGAGAAACACCACCGCCGACAUGUAGAGAAAAAGCAUCAAAGCAUCAUUUGCACAACGCCUUAAAUUCUGACUUCUGUUCUACAGUGCUUUACAAAUCCUGCAUCUGACGGGGCUGCAUCUCACCUGCUUGUGCCAACGGGCCAGAAUCCAGCGGAGAGAUAUCCACAGUCUUUGCCCACAAGCCUGAAACUGCUGCAGUGGAAUGAGUGCUGCUGAACGAGAGAGCAUCCCAUUCCUUUUAUCAAGCCACCUAGGUAGAUUCUUGAAUCCACCUCCUGGAAAGGAGGCAUAAACCUGCUGCCUGAGCUGUCUUAAGAGCUUGAUCAAGCAGUGAGCAAUCUUUCGAAUAUACUUGUUCUUCUAAAGCAUUUGGAGAAGACAUAAUAAUUUUUGUUCUGCAAGUUCUUCAGAGGAGGAAUAGAAGAAAACACUGAUUUGAUUCGGAGCACACUGCCUGCAGGUCUCAUGCUGUUAUUCUCCCUCGAGGGCCAGGGUACCAUAUCCCCUGGCAGUAAAGCGACUCGAGAGAGGUGUGAGUCACAGCGUGUUAACACCGCGGUGUGACAAAUGAAUGACGUCAGACUUCCUGCACUGAGGUAGGUGCACACCACCAAGUGCAGCUGCCAGCUUUAGCCCCUGAGGACGGCGAGUAACCCUCAUUGGAGGCUGGCCCUUUCCUACUGAUGCUAAAGCCCAGCCUCUUUGAACGCUCCUUGAAGGAUGACAAAUAUCGUAUCUCUUCUUAUAUCACCUGCAGCUCGCUCUUUACCACCUCACAGAGAGCAAAAUCCCUCUUGAGCAGCCUCUCUACUAUUCCUUCUGUUCUCCUGGUUGUCUCUUGGGAAAGCAAGUUUUGGGGACAGCCGCUGUUUUCUCCCUCUAUCACUGUUCCACCUCUUUGCAGAGUCUUACAAUGCAACAUCAGUCACAGUUCAUAAGUGAAUACAUAUGAAAAUAUUAUAUCUACCCUGGGAGGUCUCCAUGCCAUUUAUUUAAGCACCACCAGUGUUGACUUUGCCCUCAUUUCAACAUGGUGUUAUCUUUCGUUCAAACUGUGAGAAUUAACAGCUGUGAAUAUUUAACAACUGAUUUUCCAAGUUGAUGAUCUUGGUGAUAAGGUCAGGAUGCCACAGUGUCUUGACUAGUUUACUGUGUCUCCCCUUUUGUUGUCUAAUCUGAACAACAAUUAAAGGGUAAGUGCUCUGUUUUGUCACUGCCCCAGUACAGCGAAUUAUGUUCUUGUUAUUUGUCACACUGCUAAUUUUUGUGAAUGGAUAGCAUUGAUGAAAAGCUACUUAGCAAAAAAGAUUUAAUUUGUGAAUGCAAUAAGCUUAUUCUGGAGGGAAUCUACUUUUUUUUUU